GAGAUGGCUCCCACGUCCAAGGAUGGCAGCAGGCGCGAAAAUUGUCCACUCUUUUGAGAGGAGACAGUUAUGAAACGUGAGUAGAAGGGUCGAGUGUAAAAACCUUGACGUGAAGCAAUUGGAGGGCAAGUUUUGGUGCCAGCAGCCGCGGUAAUUCCAACUCCAAGAGUGUCUAUGGUGGAUGCUGCAGUUAAAGGGUCCGUAGUCGUAGAUGCAAUUAAAAGGUGGUGUUAAAAGCCAUUGAGUUUGUUGAGAGUAGCGGAACGGAUAGGGAGCAUGGUAUAGGUGGGCAAAGAAUGAAAUCUCAAGACCCCACCUGGACCAACGGAGGCGAAAGCGAUGCUCUUAGACGUAUCUGGGGAUCAAGGACGAAGGCUAGAGUAUCGAAAGUGAUUAGACACCGCUGUAGUUCUAGCAGUAAACUAUGCCGACAAUGCUGGGUGUGCGAGAGCG
rnacentral:rRNA from 1 species